UCAACUAAUUCUUUAGUUUCAACAUGGAUGGAUGAAUGGAUGGAUGGUGCAAGCUGGCAGUGAGCCUGAAACCUAUCCCAGGAAGAACAGGAAAGAAUGCAGGAGACACUCUGGAUGAGAUGCAAGCCAAUCACAGGGAUAGGCUCCAGGCUACACUGUGGCCCUGACCAGAAUAAGAGGCUGCAAGAGGAAUGGAUGAAAUUCACCGAAAAUCACUUGUUUUUGGAUUACACAAGGGAACCGGAGUACUUGGAGGAAACCCAUGAAACGCAGGGAAAAUGUGGAUAUUCCUCACGUGUAAAACGUGUAAACUCCACACACUGGGAAACCCUGUAAACUCCACACAUAAGGAGAACAUCUAAACUCCACACAUACAGCUACCUACCAAGCUACAAAGCCACACCUUAGUUAACUCGACUAGAUGCAUAGACACAGCCUUCUAUAUUAUUUUAUUAAAGUUCAAAUCAUCAUACGAUGUUCAGUUACUUACGGCAACUGGUCCUCAAGUAACAUAUUCUUGAUUUUGAAUAGUGCAAUUAAUAUAAUUAUUUUGUCAUCCAUGCCUAAUUACCUAUAUACCUGAAUAAAUAACUGACAGCCAGCAGAUGAGGCGGGCUGCAGAGGUCAAACACUGGCCUGGACGAUGGUGAGCAUACACAACCCAAGAAUAGAGGCAGGCAAAGUGUCAUCAACAUAUCAUCAGCCUGCAAAACGUUGAUUUCUAUCCUGCCUAAUGCUCCAAGACUAGAUCACAGAAAUCAGACUUUGGGGCAGGCAUUGUACUCUAGUAUUUGUGUUACAUAUAAAACACAGGCAGUCCCCAGGUUACGAACAAGAUCUGUUUCCUAAGUCUGUCUUUAAGUUGAAUUAGGUAGGAAGUCGGAAAAAAAUACAGUGAAUAAUAUUAAUAAUUAUACAGUAAUAUUGAAAGUAACUACAGAUGGUACUGUACUGUAACCCAAGCUGACGGACAGCUAAAGCCAUACAAUGUUUUCAGGUACGUCACAAAGUAAUGUGUGCAUUCCUUAUU